ensembl:misc_RNA predicted gene, 27572
CCAACCGCCGGGCUAUAAUCUAUGAAACUGAUCCCGGACCCAGCCAAUCAGUUAGCUCCUCAUAACAAGUCUAACUGGCUCUGGACAGCUGAAGGGCUGUGCUGAAGCACGGCAGAGAAGAUAUUCCACACAAUACUUUGCUUAUCUAUACAGUCACUUUGCCUGGAAAGGCCAGAGGGGGAAAAAAAUCACAGCUUCUUUGUUUCAGGAAAGGAGGACAGGUGAUCUGGCACGAACUGAAGCUGGAGCAA